UACGUAGGGGGCAAGCGUUGUCCGGAAUCAUUGGGCGUAAAGAGCGCGUAGGCGGCCCUGUAAGUCCGCUGUGAAAGUCAAGGGCUCAACCCUUGAAUGCCGGUGGAUACUGCAGGGCUAGAGUCCGGAAGAGGCGAGUGGAAUUCCUGGUGUAGCGGUGAAAUGCGCAGAUAUCAGGAGGAACACCGAUGGCGAAGGCAGCUCGCUGGGACGGUACUGACGCUGAGGUGACGAAAGCGUGGGGAGCAAACAGG
rnacentral:rRNA from 1 species